CUGCAGUAUAUUGUGUUUCGCAGGGAACCUACCUGCUCCCAUAUCUCACAGUACUAAUUUCUUAUUAUACCUGAUUGUAACAAUAAAUUAUUUGAUGCUAGGUGGUCCCCUCACCUGCCUCCAAAACUCAUUGUGUUCAUUUCCUUUAGUACAUUCUCACUCCAAACCAAAGAUUCACUAUGCUUAUUUUGUACAGUACCCGCUCAAUGAGUGUGGGAUAGUGUAAAUACUGGAUGCCUCAACAUUCCAAUUCCAACUUUCACUGUAUGGAUUCCUUGCUGUAUUUUAU